rnacentral:rRNA from 1 species
AGGGGGCAAGCGUUAUCCGGAUUCACUGGGCGUAAAGGGAGCGCAGGCGGCAUGGCAAGUCUGAUGUGAAAACCCGGGGCCCAACCCCGGGAGUGCAUUGGAAACUGCCAGGCUGGAGUGUCGGAGGGGUAAGCGGAAUUCCUAGUGUAGCGGUGAAAUGCGUAGAUAUUAGGAGGAACACCAGUGGCGAAGGCGGCUUACUGGACGACUACUGACGCUGAGUCUCGAAAGCGUGGGGAGCAA